rnacentral:rRNA from 1 species
UACGUAGGGUGCAAGCGUUAAUCGGAAUUACUGGGCGUAAAGCGUGCGCAGGCGGCUUUGCAAGACAGAUGUGAAAUCCCCGGGCUCAACCUGGGAACUGCAUUUGUGACUGCAUGGCUGGAGUGCGGCAGAGGGGGAUGGAAUUCCGCGUGUAGCAGUGAAAUGCGUAGAUAUGCGGAGGAACACCGAUGGCGAAGGCAAUCCCCUGGGCAUGCACUGACGCUCAUGCACGAAAGCGUGGGGAGCAAACAGG